rnacentral:rRNA from 1 species
AUUGAACGCUGGCGGCAGGCCUAACACAUGCAAGUCGAGCGGAUGAAGGGAGCUAGCUCCUGGAUUCAGCGGCGGACGGGUGAGUAAUGCCUAGGAAUCUGCCUGGUAGUGGGGGAUAACGUCCGGAAACGGGCGCUAAUACCGCAUACGUCCUGAGGGAGAAAGUGGGGGAUCUUCGGACCUCACGCUAUCAGAUGAGCCUAGGUCGGAUUAGCUAGUUGGUGGGGUAAAGGCCUACCAAGGCGACGAUCCGUAACUGGUCUGAGAGGAUGAUCAGUCACACUGGAACUGAGACACGGUCCGGAUUCCUACGGAGGGCGGAGGUGGGGAUUAUUGGACAAUGGGGGAAAGCUGAUCCAGCCAUGCCGCGUGUGUGAAGAAGGUCUUCGGAUUGUAAAGCACUUUAAGUUGGGAGGAAGGGCAGUAAGUUAAUACCUUGCUGUUUUGACGUUACCAACAGAAUAAGCACCGGCUAACUUCGUG